AUAUUCCAGCUCAAAAUGCAGCUUCAAGAUAUUACGACCGAAAAAUUGGAACUCAAAAGACGCUUGUUUAGAAAUAAAUAAAUAUCUGGAGCCCACUCCUUUCGAAGACGUCCUCAAGAGCAAAGCGCUGGACCUGACCAAGCGAUUUUAUCCCGUGGUGGCUGCGGCCAUUUGCCAACGGGCGAAUGGAAGUCUGGUUACGUCCGAUUAUCCAUUUAUAGCAAACCUAAGCAACAUAGCGAAAAACGAGAGCAGGUAUUAUUCAUUGGCAGUCGCG